UGGGGAAUAUUGGACAAUGGGCGCAAGCCUGAUCCAGCCAUGCCGCGUGAGUGAUGAAGGCCCUAGGGUUGUAAAGCUCUUUCACCGGUGAAGAUAAUGACGGUAACCGGAGAAGAAGCCCCGGCUAACUUCGUGCCAGCAGCCGCGGUAAUACGAAGGGGGCUAGCGUUGUUCGGAUUUACUGGGCGUAAAGCGCACGUAGGCGGACUUUUAAGUCAGGGGUGAAAUCCCGGGGCUCAACCCCGGAACUGCCUUUGAUACUGGAAGUCUUGAGUAUGGUAGAGGUGAGUGGAAUUCCGAGUGUAGAGGUGAAAUACGUAGAUAUUCGGAGGAAAACCAGUGGCGAAGGCGGCUCACUGGACCAUUACUGACGCUGAGGUGCGAAAGCGUGGGGAGCAAACAGG
rnacentral:rRNA from 1 species